AGUAGUAGUCUUAACAGUAGGGCAGGACAUAGCAUAUAUUAAGGCUAGAAAGGCAGAGAUUUCAGAUAUUAGCAAUAGUCACUUGGACACUUGGAACAUUGAUGAAUUGGCCAGAGAUUAACCUAAGUGCAUUGAAUCCCCUGGAUUGGGUUCAAUAUAUAUUCCUACUUGCUAUUAUUAUUGGCAUUAUUUUAUUAGUAAAUCAUUGUGUUUCCACUCAUCUUUAGAGU
rnacentral:lncRNA from 1 species